rnacentral:lncRNA from 1 species
CUGAGAUUUCGUGGGUGAAGAAAUGAUGAACAAUAGUGAAGAGAAACAACUUGGAAAGGCAGAGAUGACAGGCGACGUGAAGCCCUGGAUUGUAGGCUGCUGAAGGAUUGUUUCAGCACUGACUACUCCCCUUGGCAUCUAAUACUCAGCCAGUUCCAAUAGAACAAUGGUAACAUGGUGGUCAGUAGGGCCGUCCCUUCUGGGAACAUGGCAGGACUGCCCUUCCCUCUCCUUUGAAGCUAGGUGUGGCCAUGUGACUUGGUUUGGCCAAUGAAACGUGAGUGGAAGUGACAUGUACCCCUCCUGGGAAGAAGCUUUAAGAGGUA